UACGGGAAGCUAAAUGGUAGAGCAGCUGUUUUAAAUGCAGAAUGUCCCAGGUUCAAUCCCUGGUGUCCCUGGGUAG